UACGGGGGGGGCAAGCGUUGUUCGGAUUUACUGGGCGUAAAGGGCGCGUAGGCGGCGUAAUAAGUCACUUGUGAAAUCUCCGGGCUUAACCCGGAGCGGCCAAGUGAUACUGUUGUGCUAGAGUGCAGAAGGGGCAACUGGAAUUCUCGGUGUAGCGGUGAAAUGCGUAGAUAUCGAGAGGAACACCUGCGGCGAAGGCGGGUUGCUGGGCUGACACUGACGCUGAGGCGCGAAAGCCAGGGGAGCGAACGGG
rnacentral:rRNA from 1 species